rnacentral:rRNA from 1 species
UAAGGAAUAUUGGACAAUGGUCGCAAGACUGAUCCAGCCAUGCCGCGUGCAGGAAGACGGCCCUAUGGGUUGUAAACUGCUUUUGUACCAGAGAAAACCUAUCUACGUGUAGAUAGCUGAUAGUAUGGUAAGAAUAAGCAUCGGCUAGCUUCGUGCCAGCAGCCGCGGUAAGACGAAGGAUGCAAGCGUUAUCCGGAUUCAUUGGGUUUAAAGGGUGCGUAGGCGGGCUUGUAAGUCAGUGGUGAAAUCUCUCAGCUUAACUGAGAAACUGCCAUUGAUACUGCAGGCCUAGAGUAUAGAUGACGUUGGCGGAAUAUGACAUGUAGUGGUGAAAUACUUAGAUAUGUCAUAGAACACCGAUUGCGAAGGCAGCUAACGAAACUAUAACUGACGCUGAGGCACGAAAGUGCGGGGAUCAAACA